rnacentral:lncRNA from 1 species
CUACCCUCUCUCUUCUCAAACUAAAUUGUCAAGAAACCACAAAAUGGUUGUAACCAAAAUCGAAACCCUAAUUUGCCACUUAAAGAAAAAGAAGAUUUAGCAAAUAGUUUACGAAACUUACUCGCUACUCUUCUUAUUGGCGGUACAAUUGUUUGAGACCGACAGAAUCAGCAAGAAACCCUAAUUUUGAGGAGGAGAAAAGCAGAUUAGAAACUUUUGUAAAAGCGUUUGAGCAGAGGACGUGGAGGGAAAAGAAAACCAAAAAAAGACGAAGGCUGUACUUACAGUUACAGACCUAUUCCGUCGCUAAUUUCAAUUUCGUCACCUUUCUCGUUUGCUG